AUACUCUGGUUUCUCUUCAUAGAUCUUUCGUUUUUUACUAAAGAUUUCCGUAGACAGAAACAACCAUGAGUUUCAUAUAAAUAUGCUGUUCAGCAAUAAAAUAUAUAUAUGACA